rnacentral:rRNA from 1 species
GACAGAGGGUGCAAACGUUGUUCGGAAUUACUGGGCGUAAAGCGCGUGUAGGCGGCCCUGCAAGUCGGGUGUGAAAUCCCAUGGCUCAACCAUGGAAGUGCACUCGAAACUGCAGGGCUAGAGUCCUGGAGAGGAAGGUGGAAUGCUUGGUGUAGAGGUGAAAUUCGUAGAUAUCAAGCGGAACACCGGUGGCGAAGGCGGCCUUCUGGACAGUGACUGACGCUGAGACGCGAAAGCGUGGGGAGCGAACGGG